GCCUGGUUAGCUCAAUCGGUAGAGCAUUUGACUCUUAAUCAAAAGGUUGCGGGUUCGAGCCCCGCAUUGGGCU
rnacentral:tRNA from 2 species